rnacentral:lncRNA from 1 species
AUCAGGCUCCAGCAGCAGUGUUUCCUGCAGUCUGAAGGGAAGGCUGGACUGUCCUAUUAAGAAGCCUUGUAAUGAUACAACAUGAUUAAAAUGACUCAGAAGAAAUUACUUUGUGGGGGUCAAUAAGGGCUGAGAAGGGCAGGCUGAUCGUGGAACUGUGCUUUUAAAUGGACUAAUUCCGAGGGAGUGUGUUUAUCAUAGUCACACAUAACUGGCUGAAUAAUAAUCACACCAAAAUUAUGUGAAAAUUGUAGCCUUUCCAGGGGCUGAAGGUAGUUCAGUGGCUUUUUAUGUACAGAGCUGAUUUAUAUCAAAUGACACGGGUCUAAAAUUCUCACAUAAUGUUUUUGCAGAAAAUGACUAUCAGCUUUCUUCUUGGCUUCAAUUUGAAUGUCACUCAGAGAAAUAUCAAGUUACACAAUAUUACACAGCGUAAGCAGAAUGUAGCCAAAGGUACUGCAGCUAACGCUGCUGCAGUAAGCUUUAGCAUACCGAGAAGCCAGCUCUGCUGUUGCGGAUCCUGGAGAUGCAUUUCCUGUACAGUGACACUGGCCUUCCUGCUGGUCCAGCUGAAUGAGGAGAGUUGUAGAAAUUAUGCAGCAAGAGGACCAUCCUUCCCUUUGGAGCUGACCCCCAUGUUCUUUUACAAACCAAAGUGGGACAAGAUUUGCAGUUACUACGUGUUGGAACAUUUUUUAACGCAACUCCCAGAAAUGCAGUUAAUUUUUCCAGUGAAUUGGAACUUACAGAAAGUCAUCCUGCAUCCCAGAGAACCAAAACUGCACAGUUUGGCCUGUGGGGGUGGAUGCCUCGUGUGAGACUCACCCAAUCUGCCUCUGUGACCUGGGCUGGUUACGGGUCCUGCUGUUCAGCCAUUGGCUUCAGAGGGAGAUUUGCCUCACAGAAUGUGGGGUGAACACAAACUUUCCACUCAUACAUCUGCAAGAGCAGAGAUUUUGCUCCAACUGCUGACCUCUCCUACGUUGCUUGCUCUCUGGGGUGAUUUCUCUUGAUCUCAAAGCAUAUGAACUGAGACUAUUCAUGCAGCCGUAAAAACAACGCAGAUUAAUGAGAGUCACUCCCUACCAGGUGACCCCUAGAAAGCCUGCUCCGCAGACACUGGAAGGCAAGAUUUUUUAAUCAGUUUUGGUCAGACAGCGAUUAAAUCACUGGACUUUUUUUUCCCAUCAGCUACAUCUUCAGUGUGGAAACACUGUGGUCAAUUUUUAUGACCAUUCAGCAGGGCUGUACUCAGCACUGCAUGUUUCCUGGUAGGCAUCCACGUUGCGUGCUUUUAAAAUUCAUUUCAGGUAAUCUGCCGUAAAGGAGAAUAUUGAGGCUGUGUAUCUUGGCCACCCAAUCUAUACCCUCCUGUUGGCAGAUCUAUACACCUCUGCCAUAAUAAAAGCACCGGUGAGCAGAGCA